rnacentral:rRNA from 1 species
CCCUUAGAGUUUGAUCCUGGCUCAGAAUCAACGCUGGCGGCGUGCCUAACACAUGCAAGUCGAACGCGACUGGGGCUUCGGUCCCAGUUGAGUGGCGAACGGGUGAGUAACACGUGGGUGACCUACCUUCGAGUGGGGGAUAACGUCCCGAAAGGGACGCUAAUACCGCAUAACAUCCCGCCUUUGAACAGGCGGAGAUCAAAGCCGGGGAUCGCAAGACCUGGCGUUUGAAGAGGGGCCCGCGUCCGAUUAGCUAGUUGGUGAGGUAACGGCCCACCAAGGCAACGAUCGGUAACCGGCCUGAGAGGGCGGACGGUCACACUGGGACUGAGACACGGCCCAGACUCCUACGGGAGGCAGCAGUGGGGAAUUGUUCGCAAUGGGCGCAAGCCUGACGACGCAACGCCGCGUGGAGGAUGAAGGUCUUCGGAUUGUAAACUCCUGUUGCCCGGGACGAAAUGCUCCAACCUAAUACGUUGGAGUUUGACGGUACCGGGUGAGGAAGCCCCGGCUAACUCUGUGCCAGCAGCCGCGGUAAUACAGAGGGGGCAAGCGUUGUUCGGAAUUACUGGGCGUAAAGGGCGCGUAGGCGGCCUGUUAAGUCGAACGUGAAAUCCCCGGGCUCAACCCGGGAACUGCGUCCGAUACUGGCAGGCUUGAAUCCGGGAGAGGGAUGUGGAAUUCCAGGUGUAGCGGUGAAAUGCGUAGAUAUCUGGAGGAACACGGGUGGCGAAGCGGCAUCCUGGACCGGUAUUGACGCUGAGCGCGAAAG